AGUGAACGCUGGCGGUAGGCCUAACACAUGCAAGUCGAACGGCAGCACAGUAAGAGCUUGCUCUUACGGGUGGCGAGUGGCGGACGGGUGAGGAAUACAUCGGAAUCUACUUUUUCGUGGGGGAUAACGUAGGGAAACUUACGCUAAUACCGCAUACGACCUACGGGUGAAAGCAGGGGAUCUUCGGACCUUGCGCGAUUGAAUGGGCCGAUGUCGGAUUAGCUAGUUGGCGGGGUAAAGGCCCACCAAGGCGACGAUCCGUAGCUGGUCUGAGAGGAUGAUCCGCCACACUGGAACUGAGACACGGUCCAGACUCCUACGGGAGGCAGCAGUGGGGAAUAUUGGACAAUGGGCGCAAGCCUGAUCCAGCCAUACCGCGUGGGUGAAGAAGGCCUUCGGGUUGUAAAGCCCUUUUGUUGGGAAAGAAAAGCAGCAGGUUAAUACCCCGCUGUUCUGACGGUACCCAAAGAAUAAGCACCGGCUAACUUCGUG
rnacentral:rRNA from 1 species